rnacentral:rRNA from 1 species
AGAGAGUUCAAGAGUACGUGAAACUGCUCAGAGGYAAACGGGUGGGCCCUCGAAAUCCUCUCGCGGGGGGAUUCAGYCGGAAGGACGGGUGCCGUCCCGCUUCGGACGCCCUGUUGGCGUCGUUGCCGGGCACGGGAGCUUCCCGGACGUCCGACGCACUUCCUCCCGCGCUCUGGACGCCGCAGCCGGUCGGGUAGCAGCGAGAGUCGGCCAUGAGGACCGCUGAGGCAGCAGGCAGGGUUCCCGUCUCGAACGGGCUUCCCUGUUCUCGGCCUGCGGAUCCGUGGCGCGACACCCGACCGAGGUGAAGGAUCCGAAGUCCCCGGAUCAGUCGGUGCCCUCGU